GCCCGGGUAGCUCAAUUGGCUAGAGCGUGCGGCUUUUACAUUCAGUGACGAAUGAGCCUACCGCAAGGUUGAGGGUUCGACCCCCUCCUCGGGCG
rnacentral:tRNA from 1 species